rnacentral:rRNA from 1 species
CCUACGGGUGGCAGCAGUGAGGAAUAUUGGUCAAUGGACGAGAGUCUGAACCAGCCAAGUAGCGUGAAGGAUGACUGCCCUAUGGGUUGUAAACUUCUUUUAUAUGGGAAUAAAAUGUUCCACGUGUGGGAUUUUGUAUGUACCUUAUGAAUAAGGAUCGGCUAACUCCGUGCCAGCAGCCGCGGUAAUACGGAGGAUCCGAGCGUUAUCCGGAUUUAUUGGGUUUAAGGGGAGCGUAGGUGGAUUGUUAAGUCAGUUGUAAAAGUUUGCGGCUAAACCGUAAAAUGGCAGUUGUAACUGGAGGUCUGAGUACAGUAGAGGUAGGCGGAAUUCGUGGUGUAGCGGUGAAAUGCUUAGAUAUCACGAAGAACUCCGAUUGCGAAGGCAGCUCACUGGACUGCAACUGACACUGAGGCUCGAAAGUGUGGGUAUCAAACAGGAUUAGAUACCCCUGUAGUC